rnacentral:rRNA from 1 species
UUGAAGAGUUUGAUCAUGGCUCAGAUUGAACGCUGGCGGCAGGCCUAACACAUGCAAGUCGAACGGUAACAGGAAGCAGCUUGCUGCUUCGCUGACGAGUGGCGGACGGGUGAGUAAUGUCUGGGAAACUGCCUGAUGGAGGGGGAUAACUACUGGAAACGGUGGCUAAUACCGCAUAACGUCGCAAGACCAAAGAGGGGGACCUUCGGGCCUCUUGCCAUCAGAUGUGCCCAGAUGGGAUUAGCUUGUUGGUGAGGUAACGGCUCACCAAGGCGACGAUCCCUAGCUGGUCUGAGAGGAUGACCAGCCACACUGGAACUGAGACACGGUCCAGACUCCUACGGGAGGCAGCAGUGGGGAAUAUUGCACAAUGGGCGCAAGCCUGAUGCAGCCAUGCCGCGUGUAUGAAGAAGGCCUUCGGGUUGUAAAGUACUUUCAGCGGGGAGGAAGGUGUUGUGGUUAAUAACCACAGCAAUUGACGUUACCCGCAGAAGAAGCACCGGCUAACUCCGUGCCAGCAGCCGCGGUAAUACGGAGGGUGCAAGCGUUAAUCGGAAUUACUGGGCGUAAAGCGCACGCAGGCGGUCUGUCAAGUCGGAUGUGAAAUCCCCGGGCUCAACCUGGGAACUGCAUUCGAAACUGGCAGGCUUGAGUCUUGUAGAGGGGGGUAGAAUUCCAGGUGUAGCGGUGAAAUGCGUAGAGAUCUGGAGGAAUACCGGUGGCGAAGGCGGCCCCCUGGACAAAGACUGACGCUCAGGUGCGAAAGCGUGGGGAGCAAACAGGAUUAGAUACCCUGGUAGUCCACGCCGUAAACGAUGUCUACUUGGAGGUUGUGCCCUUGAGGCGUGGCUUCCGGAGCUAACGCGUUAAGUAGACCGCCUGGGGAGUACGGCCGCAAGGUUAAAACUCAAAUGAAUUGACGGGGGCCCGCACAAGCGGUGGAGCAUGUGGUUUAAUUCGAUGCAACGCGAAGAACCUUACCUGGUCUUGACAUCCACAGAAGAAUCCAGAGAUGGAUUUGUGCCUUCGGGAACUGUGAGACAGGUGCUGCAUGGCUGUCGUCAGCUCGUGUUGUGAAAUGUUGGGUUAAGUCCCGCAACGAGCGCAACCCUUAUCCUUUGUUGCCAGCGGUUAGGCCGGGAACUCAAAGGAGACUGCCAGUGAUAAACUGGAGGAAGGUGGGGAUGACGUCAAGUCAUCAUGGCCCUUACGACCAGGGCUACACACGUGCUACAAUGGCGCAUACAAAGAGAAGCGACCUCGCGAGAGCAAGCGGACCUCAUAAAGUGCGUCGUAGUCCGGAUUGGAGUCUGCAACUCGACUCCAUGAAGUCGGAAUCGCUAGUAAUCGUGGAUCAGAAUGCCACGGUGAAUACGUUCCCGGGCCUUGUACACACCGCCCGUCACACCAUGGGAGUGGGUUGCAAAAGAAGUAGGUAGCUUAACCUUCGGGAGGGCGCUUACCACUUUGUGAUUCAUGACUGGGGUGAAGUCGUAACAAGGUAACCGUAGGGGAACCUGCGGUUGGAUCACCUCCUU